UCAUGGAGACACACCCAUCUCAAAUGUCCAGAAAUGCCACCUCUCUGGAGGAUGGUCCUAUCUGGGGCACGUCAGGAGUCUAGAAGGUAGACAGCAAAGGUGAGAAAGUAGAGAGCUGGCUCUCCAGCCCAGGAUGCAUGAAGGCGUGAGGGAAGGUGGCUAGGAGAAGCACCUAUCAGCAGCACAGAAGGGCCAAGUGAGCAGCUGCACGUGUGCACACAACAGUAGCGAGUGGAAUUUGCACCAUCCAGGUCAGAUGGAAAAUAGAAGCCUGGAAAAUCUGACAGUCUCAUUGAUUUGCUCGCCUUGCCAUCGCUACUUGAGAGGAGAAGCAAUGUGAUUUCAAAAUUGCAAUUAGGAGCCAGCCCGUUAAGGGUUCCUCUCAUGAGCUCCCGUGCUGUGCGGCUCCCAGGCCCACCUUGUCUCAUUUCCUGAGUAGCUCUUAGUCUGGCCCUUGUUUCUACCACUCUGCCGAAACCACUCUCUUCAAGGCCAUCCUCAUCUUCUAUGUUGCCCAGCCUGUGACCAGGACAAGUGGACCAGACAUACAAGUUUCCUGACACAGUGGCAUCUCAAGGGGUGCCUGAUGCCUACCUGCCUGGCACCACAGCAUGGAUUUCUGCACAGAUGCUACCUCUGUGGGCAGAGGCCAGGCUGACGUUUAUGUGGAUGUCAAGACCAGCCUUCAGUCUGUUUUCCGAUGCAACCACAGCUGCUGCAGGGCCCAUCUCGUCUGAGCAGCUCGGCAGUUUGGUGUGGCUGUCUAGGUUUUGUCAGAUGGAACGUGAGCAGAAGCGAUGUGUUCUACCUCCAGGCCUAACCCAUAAAAAGCCCCUGGGAACACUCCUCCAUGCCUUUGCCGCUUCCAUAAGCUGGACACAGAUGACGAGGAGGAGCCAGGGAAAAGUGGAGCCACAAACUAGAAGGAGCACGAGUCCCAGAGUGACACUUCAAAGACUGCCAUGUGAGCAGGAAAUAAACAUCCA